AGUGAACGCUGGCGGUAGGCCUAACACAUGCAAGUCGAACGGCAGCACAGUAAGAGCUUGCUCUUACGGGUGGCGAGUGGCGGACGGGUGAGGAAUACAUCGGAAUCUACUUUUUCGUGGGGGAUAACGUAGGGAAACUUACGCUAAUACCGCAUACGACCUACGGGUGAAAGCAGGGGAUCUUCGGACCUUGCGCGAUUGAAUGAGCCGAUGUCGGAUUAGCUAGUUGGCGGGGUAAAGGCCCACCAAGGCGACGAUCCGUAGCUGGUCUGAGAGGAUGAUCAGCCACACUGGAACUGAGACACGGUCCAGACUCCUACGGGAGGCAGCAGUGGGGAAUAGUGGACAAUGGGCGCAAGCCUGAUCCAGCCAUGCCGCGUGGGUGAAGAAGGCCUUCGGGUUGUGAAGCCCUUUUGUUGGGAAAGAAAAGCAGCAGGUUAAUACCCCGCUGUUCUGACGGUACCCAAAGAAUAAGCACCGGCUAACUUCGUG
rnacentral:rRNA from 1 species